rnacentral:rRNA from 1 species
UACGUAGGUGGCAAGCGUUGUCCGGAUUUAUUGGGUUUAAAGGGUGCGUAGGCGGCCUUGUAAGUCAGUGCUGAAAUAUCCCGGCUUAACCGGGAGGGUGGCAUUGAUACUGCAGGGCUUGAGUAAAGUUGAGGUUGGCGGAAUUGACGGUGUAGCGGUGAAAUGCUUAGAUAUCGUCAAGAACACCGAUAGUGAAGACAGCUAACUAAGCUUUAACUGACGCUGAGGCACGAAAGCGUGGGGAGCGAACAGG